GACGAAGGGGGCUAGCGUUGUUCGGAAUUACUGGGCGUAAAGCGCGUGUAGGCGGUUGUCCAAGUCGGGUGUGAAAGCCUUGAGCUCAACUCAAGAAAUGCACUCGAUACUGGGCGACUAGAGUGCCGGAGAGGAUAGUGGAAUUCCCAGUGUAGUGGUGAAAUACGUAGAGAUUGGGAAGAACACCAGUGGCGAAGGCGGCUAUCUGGACGGUUACUGACGCUAAGACGCGAAAGCGGGGGGAGCAAACAGG
rnacentral:rRNA from 1 species